GCACCCAUAGCUCAGCUGGAUAGAGCAACUGCCUUCUAAGCAGUAGGUCCCCCGUUCGAAUCGGGGUGGGUGCG
rnacentral:tRNA from 1 species